rnacentral:lncRNA from 1 species
AGCACACCAGGUGGAUAAAAGCUGAGGAUGAAGACAUCAACAUGAACUUAAUACAAAUAAAGAGAAAGAAAUUUGGUUGCUUUCCUUCAUAUCAUGAAUACAAGAUUACAAAUGGUUGUUGUAUGCGGUAAAUCAAGAUCAAUUAAAAUCAUAGCUACCAGUAAUUUUGAAAACAAGAAAGGCGAAAGGCUAUUUUGUCCGUCACAACCUACAUGCAGAUAAAGGGGACCCUCCUUUAUGAGAGGUACAAACAGGUAAACAAAUAACAAUCUAAGUUGGUUACCCUUUAGAAUUCAUGUCAUGAAGUGCUCAAAAGCUUAUAAGUUUAAGUUUUUACAUUCAAAAAAACUAUCAUAGUUAUAGGAUCUUGGAAUAUAUGAUUCUCACAUAUUAAAGACAUUAAAAGACAUAUCAUCUACCAUGAUGAUAUGAUGAUAAAGAGUAAACGCCGUAAAACCUAUAAUCCUCCAAUACUUAAUUUAUCACUUUCUCGUUCGUUCUUUCUCAAGACCUGAUGGUAAAUUAGUAGAGGAAUUUUAUGGAAGAGAU